rnacentral:rRNA from 1 species
UACGGGGGGAGCAAGCGUUGUUCGGAUUUACUGGGCGUAAAGCGCGCGUAGGUGGUUCGUUAAGUUGGAUGUGAAAUCCCCGGGCUCAACCUGGGAACUGCAUUCAAAACUGUCGAGCUAGAGUAUGGUAGAGGGUGGUGGAAUUUCCUGUGUAGCGGUGAAAUGCGUAGAUAUAGGAAGGAACACCAGUGGCGAAGGCGACCACCUGGACUGAUACUGACACUGAGGUGCGAAAGCGUGGGGAGCAAACAGG